GUGGGGAAUAUUGGACAAUGGGCGAAAGCCUGAUCCAGCCAUGCCGCGUGUGUGAAGAAGGUCUUCGGAUUGUAAAGCACUUUAAGUUGGGAGGAAGGGCAGUAAGUUAAUACCUUGCUGUUUUGACGUUACCGACAGAAUAAGCACCGGCUAACUUCGUGCCAGCAGCCGCGGUAAUACGAAGGGUGCAAGCGUUAAUCGGAAUUACUGGGCGUAAAGCGCGCGUAGGUGGUUUUGUAAGUUGGAGGGGAAAUCCACAGGCUCAACCUGGGAACUGCCUCAAAAACUGCAUGACUAGAGUACGGUAGAGGGUAGUGGAAUUUCCUGUGUAGCGGUGAAAUGCGUAGAUAUAGGAAGGAACACCAGUGGCGAAGGCGACUACCUGGACUGAUACUGACACUGAGGUGCGAAAGCGUGGGGAGCAAACAGGAUUAGAAACCCCAGUAGUCC
rnacentral:rRNA from 1 species